GGGAGAGUCCGUUAAAUGGUAAACGACCGGUCUCCAAAACCGGCCCUGCAGGUUCGAGUCCUGCCUCUCCUG
rnacentral:tRNA from 1 species